UUCAAAGGUAUAGCAGGUGGCG
rnacentral:siRNA from 1 species